GACGAACGCUGGCGGCGUGCUUAACACAUGCAAGUCGAACGGAAAGGCCCUGCUUUUGUGGGGUGCUCGAGUGGCGAACGGGUGAGUAACACGUGAGUAACCUGCCCUUGACUUUGGGAUAACUUCAGGAAACUGGGGUUAAUACCGGAUAGGAGCUCCUGCUGCAUGGUGGGGGUUGGAAAGUUUCGGCGGUUGGGGAUGGACUCGCGGCUUAUCAGCUUGUUGGUGGGGUAGUGGCUUACCAAGGCUUUGACGGGUAGCCGGCCUGAGAGGGUGACCGGCCACAUUGGGACUGCGAUACGGCGCAGACUCCUACGGGAGGCAGCAGUGGGGAAUAUUGCACAAUGGGAGGAAGCCUGAUGCAGCAACGCCGCGUGCGGGAUGACGGCCUUCGGGUUGUAAACCGCUUUCGCCUGUGACGAAGCGUGAGUGACGGUAAUGGGUAAAGAAGCACCGGCUAACUACGUG
rnacentral:rRNA from 1 species